rnacentral:misc_RNA from 1 species
CAGAGUUCAUGCCCUUCGGGGUAGAUCUCCCACCCUUGUGUAUCAUUAUAGAAUGUUGCUUUGGCGGGCCGCGCGCCUGGCGUGCCUGGAUUCGCGUCCAGCGUGCCCGCCAGAGGACCCCUAAACUCUGAAUGUUAGCGUCGUCUGAGUACUAUUAAAUAGUUA